GAGGUGUGUCGCCGGAAGUGACGCACUCCGGAAGCGGCUCUCUGUGGCGAAGCUGGGACCGCGGGUUUGGAAAUCAGGGUUUAAGUUGGAUGUGACCAAGUUCGCGCCAGCCUGGUUUCUAGCUCCUGUCUAGUUCACAGAGGAGUCAUUCACGAGUUUUUCCCGCUCUGCAACAUGAGUGGCCUGGCCUCGCAGUGAUUUCCGUGAGCGUGGCUAAGGUGGGACCUAGGUUGGGUUCAGGUCAGGCGAGGACGCUGCUCUAAACUACAUCUCGCUAGCCGCUCUGGCUCUCUCUGGCUGAACUAGAGAAGGCCUGGAGGUCCCCCCGCGUUUCCGACGUGAACCUGGCGUAAGCAGAGAGCUGGGGUUCGGGCGGUGGCGGGGGGGAUUCAUCGCCCAGACGCUCCUUGUAAUUCGGAGAGAGAGAAAAACGACUGUUGUCCAGCAUUUUUCUUGGAGGAGGAGAACUAAGCAAUAGGAACAUGUCUGUUUUCCCUAAAAUAUCGUUGAGACUUGAAGUUGAAAACUACCUUAAAGCGAACUUUUUGAAUAAGGAGGUUGUAUCUGCUUUUGGUAAACAAGAAGCAGAAAGGAAGUUUGAAACUCUGUUGCAAAACUUGUCCCACCCUCCAUCAUUCACCACUGUCAGAGUAAAUACACAUUUAGCCUCAGUACAACAUGUGAAAACUCUGUUACAUGAUGAACUUCAGAAGCAGUUUAAUGGAUUAAGUUUUCCUGUUCUUCAACAUCCAGACCUUCAGGAUGUCUUACUCAUUCCUGUUAUUGGACCUAGGAAGAAUAUAAAACAACAGCACUGUGAAGUUAUUGUUGGAGCCCAGUGUGGCAACUCAGUGUUACGAGGAGCCCACGUGUAUGUUCCAGGAAUUGUGUCAGCCUCAAAAUUUAUGAAAGGUGGAGAUACUGUUUCCGUAUACUCUGAUAUUAAAGGCAAAUGUAAGAAAGGAGCCAAAGAAUUUGAUGGAACAAAAAUAUUUCUUGGAAAUGGGAUUUCUGAACUAAGCCGCAAAGAAAUCUUCAGCGGGCUACCUGAUCUUAAAGGCAUAGGCAUAAGAAUGACGGAACCAGUGUAUCUCAGCCCUUCAUUUGACGAUGUACUGCCUGGCUACUUAUUUUUACAGAAUUUGCCUUCUGCCGUAGUAACACAUGUUCUGGAUCCUCAACCUGGAGAAAGGAUUCUGGAUUUGUGUGCAGCACCUGGAGGCAAAACAACACACAUUGCAGCACGAAUGCGUGAUCAGGGAGAAGUGAUAGCACUGGAUAAAAUAGCCAACAAAGUAGAAAAAAUAAAGCAGAAUGCAUUAUUACUAGGCCUGAAUUCCAUCAGGGCAUUUUGCUUUGAUGGAACAAAGGCCCUCAAACUUGAUAUAGACACAGAAGGAGAACCUCCAUUCUUACCCGAAUCUUUUGACCGAAUUCUGCUUGAUGCCCCCUGCAGUGGAAUGGGACAGAGACCAAACAUGGCUUGUACUUGGACUUUGAAGGAAGUGACAUCAUACCAACCAUUACAGAGAAAACUCUUUACUGUGGUAGGUGAUGAUACUUUGCUACGGGAGAAAGGUGACUUCUACUAUUUUGAUAUUUUGAAGACAGAGCAGGUAGUGUUCAUAGUAGCAUUGGUCACAUUAACCAAAAUGUGGAAGAAACCAAUGGAAGAGUAAAAUGUGGUCUCUGCAUACAAUGGACUAUUAUACAGCCUUGAAAAGGAAUGAAAUUCCGAUACAUGCUACAGCACGGAUGAAUUCUGAACACAUUAUUUAUGCUAAGUUAUAUAAGCCAGACACAAAGGGACCAAAUAUUACAUGAUUCCAUUUACAGAGGCUGGGGGGGGACGGGAGAACAGGGAGUUACUGUUUAAUGGGGACGGAGUUUCAAUUUGGAAUGAUGAAAAAGUUUGGGAGAAGGAUAAUGGUAGUGGUUGUACAGCAGUGUGAAUGUACUUAAUGCCAUUGAAUUGUACACUUAAAAAUGGCUAAAAUGGUAAAUUUUAUUUACCGCACACACAGAAAACUGGAGACCUAUUUUUCCUUUAUGUUGACUCUUUCAUCACAGGCAAUAGUAGAAUUUGUUCUCUGAGACAUUUUGUGAAUUUCAAACAUUCUGUUCUGUCUUAAAAAUAGAGAGUUGUUAAUAUAUACCAAUUGAUGUAAAAAACUUGGAUAUAAAGUAAUUUUUUUUUUCAUUUUUGGCCAUCCCACACUGUAUGGAGCUCCUGGGCCAGGGAUCGGAGCCCAGCGCAGUUUCAACCUAAGUUGAAGCUGCAGCAAUGCCAAUGCCAGAUCUUUAACCCACUGUGCCGGGCACUCUAAAGAUGCUGCCAAUCCCGUUGUGCCACAAUGGGAGCUCCUAAAAUAAUUUUUCCAAUAGGGUUCCUGGAUCAUAGUGAAUUAAACGUAGGAAAUCCAGUAGAGGCAAGGACAUGCAUAAAAUUGAGAAGAGGCUGGAUCCAGUGCAGAAUAUAGAAGAACUGUAAAAAUUUAGGAGAUCUAACUAGUCUCCACUAUGUUUCAGAACAAUGACAAAAAAGACCAUUGGAGAAUUCUUGUUUUUUGCAAAAAAGAUUUUGUGGAUUUCCCAAGAUGUAGACAGCAUUUGAUCAAAGAUGAUUUUGUCAUUUCCUCUCAGCUUCCUAAUUACAAAUACGAAGGCUCCGGCAAUAAUGGCUGUACUGUGAUGAGCCCAUCUCCAACGCUGUCCAUAAGUACGUUUCCUAUCAGCUCUUCCUGUGUCUCCUGGCCUCCACAGCAGGGGCACUGGUGGUUGGUUGUUUAAACCUUCUCUUCUGUAUGGUCUGAUUCAAAGAACACAUCCUGGAAGUCACAGGAGCAGGCACCCAGAAAGAAGCUUGACUUAUAGCCAAAACCCACUUUGACAAGAGGGUGAAAUUAGGACCAUGCUUUAAAAGACUUGGUAUUUAGCUCAGAGGAAAAAGGCAUUUUGUUUUGUUACUUAUUUAUAUUUGGUUGCACCCGAGGCAUGUGAAGGUUCCCAGGCCAGGGAUCAAACCUGUGCCACAGCAGUGACAAUGCUGAGUCCUUAACCUGCUAGGCCACCAGGGAGUUUCCCCCCCAAAGACAUUGAAGGGCCACUUGGAGGAGAUGUACUGAUCUCAGUGACAAGGAGCAGCUGACUGUGUAUGAGAGAGAGUGUAGAAUCUGGCAGGUGUGCCACUGGACAAAGGGUAGAAAUGGAGAAUGUGGACACGUCCUGAUUUGAGCCAUGGCUUCUGCAUAUAAGUUAAGGGGUUUAAGCACAGGGGUUUCCAGAUUUGAGAAGGGGGGAUAAUAACUGCCCUGACAGGGUUACCUCAUUGGAGACAGUAACUAUACCUCAUAGUGGUUAUAGGAUUUAUUGAGAAAAUCUAUGUAAUGUGCUUAAAACGGUCAUUGGCACCUAGUAGCAAAGUUUAAAUUCUGAUCAGUGUACUGUGUAUGGAUCAGUGUACAGGGUAUGGUUAAGAAAGCAUAUUAUUUGAAUUUUUUUAAAAAAGAUUUUCAUUAAAAAUUUAAAAAACUGAGAAUUUGAAAAGAGAAACUUGAGUUCUGUGGGACAAGUUCCUUUUCCUAUUGCACUUUAUUUCCUGGACAAAUACUGAUUGGGCACCUUCUCUGUAAAAUGCUCCUCUUGGUGCUGACUGUAUGGUAGUCAGCCUCGCCUUUAUACACAGGAUUUCUAUUCUAAUUGGGGAGGAAAAUUAACAAAUAGAUGAGUGAGGGAUUUAGGGCAUUUCAGGAUGAUAAUCCAUGGAGCAAACUGAAGAAAGGACAGGAAUGCCUGGUCAGAAUAGUUGGAGUUGGGAGUUCCUGUUGGGGCUCAGGAGGUUAAGAGUCCAGCUAGUAUCCAUGAGGAUGCGGGUUCAAUCCCUGGCCUCACUCAGUGAUUUAAAUGAUCUGGUGUUGCCAUGAGCUAUGGCGUAGAUCCUGGGUGCUACGUGGAUCCCAUGUACCACUGGGAUCUAGCAUUGCUGUGGCUGUGGUGUAGUCUGGCAACUGCAGCUCCCAUUCAGCACCUAGCCUGGGAACUUCUCUAUGCCACAGUGUGGCCCUUAGAAUAGUUGGGAGUAGGACUCAGGGACCCAGGGUGGUCUGGGAGGGCAUUGCUGGGACCUGGAAAUAGAAGCAAAGAUAAGAAGGUUGUGAGGAGGGGGCAGCAGCGCAGGGACUGAGCAGAGCUUUCUGAGCUGUUGCAGAGAUCCUGAGGGGCGUGUCCUGCGGGAUCCAGACCAGCAGAGGCUGGUGGUACUCAAGCAGAGAGAGUGAGGCACCCAAGAAGGGAAGGCAGUGAGAGGCCGGCUGUAUGCGGGGCUUUGCAGGCAGCUCUGAGGAUAUGGGCUUUGACUCCAGGUCAUGAUGGAGAACAUUUGAAGCUGAGAAGAGACAGCUUUAAAAGCACCACUCUGGCUGCUGAGAAUAGAUGAUAGGAGGCCAUGGAACUAAGCAGGAAGGAAACUGUUGGGAUAGUCCAGGCAAAAGAUGCUGCAGCUUGGAGCAGAGUGACAGCAGUGGGAGUGGUGAGGAGAAGCCAGCUUGUGGAUUUUGCUCGAUGGAUGGGGAUGCGGGAGAGAAAGAGGCACAUGAAGGAUAAUCUGAGGUGGGGGCCCGAGCCCCUGGAAGGACGGGCAUACUUCUGCAGUAGGUUUCAGAGAAGACUGUACAUCUGACUAAAAAUGUUGAGAAGGCAGUCGAAUAUAGAGUAUGGAACUCAAAAAGGAAUCUCAGGAGUUCCCCAUGUGGCCCAGUGGUAACAAACCAGAUUAGUAUCCAUGAGGAUAUGGGUUUGAUCCCUCAGCAGGUUAAGGAUCCAGCAUUGCCAUGAGCUGUGGUAUAGAUCUUGGGUGUGGCUCAGAACUGGUGUGGCUGUGGUGUAGACUGGCAGCUGUAACUCUGAUUUGAACCCUAUCCUUGGAACUUCCAUGUGCUGUGUGUCCCUUAAAAAAAAAAAAAAAAAAAAGGAAAAAUUUAAAAAGGGAUCUCAUCUAAAAAUGUAAAUUUGUGAGUUUUUAGCAUAAAAAUGGAGUCUAGGCGUUCCUGUUGUGGUGCAGCGGAAACAAAGCCAACUAGGAACCAUGAAGUUGUGGGUUCGAUUCCUGGCCUCACUCAGUGGGUUGAGGGUGUAGGUCGCAGAUGCGGCUUGGAUCUGGCAUUUCUGUGGCUGUGGUGUAGGCCAGCAGCUGUAGCUCUGAUUGGAUCCCCAGCCCGGGAACCUCCAUAUGCUGAGGGUGCAGCCCUAAAAAGAGAAAACACACAAAAAAAGAGUCUAAAGCCGUGAAACUGAGUGAUCAUAUUUGGAAAGGUCUAUUUCCCUGUGGACUAAAACAGCUCCAAGAUACUGAAGCGCACCUGGUCUGGAGCACUAAUUGGAGAAUCCUGGCUCUGCAGGCCAGCAUGCGUUUAUUUCAAACACUUGGAAAAGGUUUAUAUACAUAGAGAUCUUGGAAUGUGUAUUCGCUCUUGUGAUCCGCACAGUCUGAUGACACUUUGCUUUAGGCAGUUGAGCUGCUGAAGCCGGGGGGCGUGCUGGUUUACAGCACAUGCACCGUCACGCUGGCAGAAAAUGAAGAACAAGUUGCCUGGGCCCUGGGAACAUUUCCCUGCCUUCAGCUGCAGCGCCAGGACCCUCAGAUCGGAGGAGCAGGGAUGAUGGGAGCUGGCCUGACGUCUGAACAGUUGAAACAGCUGCAGCGAUUCGAUCCGUCCGUGGUGCCAUCAUGGGACACUGACAUUGAUUCUCUCAGAGACACCAGAACAGAAGACAUGAUCCGGCUGGCAAAUCAGGACUGUAUAGGUUUCUUCAUUGCAAAAUUUGUAAAAGGCAAAAACACAAAGGUGAAGGCGCCGUAGAAGUGAAAAUUCCAAACAUUUGCUGUGCACUGUUUUUUUUUCCCCUUAAUUUAAAUCAAACUGUCAUCAGGCCACGUGAUUGAUGACGUGGUUGCUAAGGAAAUGGAAAAGGCUGCCAGCUGUUCCACCAGGAACCCAGGGACUUGAUCAAGAGACUCUGCUUCAUAGAGGACAUAGCCAGGGGGCGAUUUGAUAUUCUAUUUCUUGUUUUUAAAAUAAUUUUUUUCUUCAUGGAUUUAGCAGAGUAUAAAGAAGGCAGUAUGAAGAAAAGGGGAUGCCUAUAAAUGUCUGGAACAUACUUUCACUUGGGGUCUUUUAAUUUGUAAAGAGUACAAAUCAUUUUUAAUGUUAAAAUCAGUGGAUUUAACAUAAGGAAUAAAAUCUGCAAUAUUUAAUUUGGUUAUAAAACAUGUUUUCUGUUCCUGAGUUCAUGUGUACAAGUUGCUUACAAAUUCAGGUUAUGGGAACUAUAAUUUAUUUAUCGUGUGCCGGGAACUGAGCUGGGGAUUUUACCUGACUUUUUCUGUUGACUGUUUCGUCAAAUCAACUCCCUUUCACCUGAAUUCUGGGCCUCUCCUAAAUGACAGUCUCCCUUUACUGUGUUUACUUUUUUCCCCUUCAUAUUUAAGAAAACUUUUUUUUUUUUCUUUUUAUAGCCUCACCUGUGGAACAUGGAAGUUCCUGGGCUAGGGGUUGAAUUGGAGCUGCAGCUGCUGGUCUACACCACAGCCACGCCAAAUCCGAGCCAAGUCUGUGACCUUUACUCCAGCUUGUGACAACGCCAGAUCCUUAACCCAAUGAGCGAGGCCAGGGAUUGAACCUGCAUCCUCAUGGACACUAUGUCAGGUUCUUAACCCCCGAGCCACACCAGGAACUCCCCCCUUCGAUUUUAAACUGAAAACUAAAAUGAAACUUUUUUUUUUACUCUAUAGAUUAAAAGUGAGAAUACUGCACAAUUUGGGUACCUUUUAUCACCUGGUGGAUCACAUACAGGUUAUUAAGAGAUGUGAGUGGUGAGAAAGAGAAAAAAGCAUCCUCUGAGAGCUGGGAAGUGGCUGGACACUUAGAGUUAAGCCUUGGCGUCCUACCACCGAACAGAAGCAGGUCCAGAGAACACCGACCUCAGACCAUGCAGCUGUGACUGGGCCAGAUCAAGACAAAAAAGACCUCUUUACAGUUAAAAAUCUGAAAUCAUCCAAACCACAAACGUGACCAAACACCACAUCUUUCCCUGUAGUGGCCAGUUUAAGAGGACUGCCUUUUUAAAAUUAAUUGUAACGGUGGGCUUGCUUCAUCCUACCUGCUUUUUUAGGUAAGAUAUAUUAAAAUACUCAAUACCCAGCCAUAAUUUAAAAGCUGUCUCAUUUAGUGUUAAUAACAUCCGUUCUGUAAAUUCACAUCUACCCAAAUUGAGCCAUGGGCAUAUAAAGUGGAUAAUUGGAAGUAAUUGCCUAAUAGUUUUUUUUUCUCAUAGGUUUCCAUUAAGAAUUUCUCGAAUCUGUUGUAUCCAUCAGGAAUGCCAGGUCUCGUGGAUCAGUGUGACCCUUGACGUAUGAAUAAGUUGAGAAUAUCCAGAACUAGCAGCACUGCAUCACCGUGCAGAGGGUGAGGAAUUAAAUUCAUCAUCAAGAUGGAUCUCCAUUUUAAGAAUGAACAGUAAAAUUCAAAAUCCAAGUCAAGAAUUGCUGAAUACAUAAAUUGAAGGUGGGGAGAAGUUGACUCGGCUGUGCUCAGGCCUCAGGAACCUUUUACCUGCCGGAAGCUGUCAUUUUAUCAGACGUGAUGGGAAGACCACACUGCAGGCCCUCAGUGACUGGCAAGGCCCCACAGGAAGAUGGGCCAUGAGUGGGAGGUGCUGGAGCAAGAACAAGGAGCCAGCAGAUGCGCGCCCCCUCUGGCUGUGAGCUUCCUCCCGUCCCUGCCCGCCCUCCGGACCCCGCAGCAUCCCGCGGCCUGUGACCUGCAGGGCAGGUGGGUGGGCGCCUGACGCCAGGCUGGUUUCUUCAUCCGUCUUCCGCAUUCAGAUCCACUCGUGCACACUCUCGCACCCAGACCCACACGCAUGCACACACGGAACUCCGGCUCAGACGACAGUGGCCGCGGAGCACGCGGUUGUCGCAGGCAGUGCCCACCGAUGGAGUAGAACAACCUUUGGAGUUUGAUUAUAUUUACCAUCAUUUACGGUCAAAAUCGUUGACUUACAAGGAUGGGAAAACAUUCAGAAAUCAGCCUGUUCAAGUCAAGCAGUCACACGUAUUUACAGUAUGUACAGACUUUCUCCUAGAACGGGGAUAGGUGUCUGGACGAUGGUAUUACAAAUUUCCUGAAGGUGGGCGUUUCUAGUCCCUGUAAUUCAUAAAGCAAAUCUGCUGACUUGGCAUUAAGACUCUAAAACAGUGUGGUCAAACUGAUAUAUAUAUAUGUAUAUAUAUAUAUAAUAUAUAUAAUUAUCAUAAGAAGGUGUUUGCAGAAAUAACAUUUACAAACUGUCUAUACAGUACACAAUACUAGUACAUAGAAAAUAGAUUCUAACUUUAUGAUCCCCUUUGUGUAAGGCAAGACUGAAUCUGUCCCCAAAUUUAGUCAGCCAGAGGUACAAGCAAGAAACAGUGGUCCAUGGAUGAAUAUGCAAAUCAGGUCGGUGCCUACAUAUUAAAAAUCUGGAGAAUCAAGAAAUCCAAUUUUUAAUCUGGGCCAGUCCUGGCCCACUGGAUACAUCAACUACAUUUUGGAAAAUGUCAGCUAUGCGUCUUAAAAUGCUAACGCCACGUGGAUGGCAACAGAUUUUGUUCAAGUGGCAGCAAGCCCAGACAGUUGAAAUAGUCCAGUCCGCAACCAGAGGAUGGCAGCCUUUCCAGGCCGAUUCCCGCAGCACUUAAAAAGGAAAAAAAGGAUAUUAAUACUCUAUUUCAUGCUAUUGCUAGUCAAGCAACAGCAGAACAAAUAUACAGGACAGAUCACGUAAUUGCGAUGUAGACGCCCCCAGACUGAGUGUGAGGGUGGUGGUGUACAAGA